GAUGAACGCUAGCGGCAGGCCUAAUACAUGCAAGACGAACGGUAAGUUGAGUAGCAAUACUUAGCCAAGAGUGUCGUACGGGUGCGUAACACGUAUGCAACCUACCCUAUACAGGAGGAUAGCCUAGGGAAACCUGGAUUAACCCUUCAUAGUAUUAUUGGAUGGCAUCAUUUGAUAAUUAAAACUGAGGUGGUAUAGGAUGGGCAUGCGUCUGAUUAGUUAGUUGGCGGGGUAAUGGCCCACCAAGACGAUGAUCAGUAGGGGUUCUGAGAGGGAAGAUCCCCCCACACUGGCACUGAGAUACGGGCCAGACUCCUA
rnacentral:rRNA from 1 species